rnacentral:rRNA from 1 species
AGCAGUAGCCGCGGUAAUACGGAGGGAGCUAGCGUUAUUCGGAAUUACUGGGCGUAAAGCGCACGUAGGCGGCUUUGUAAGUUAGAGGUGAAAGCCUGGAGCUCAACUCCAGAAUUGCCUUUAAGACUGCAUCGCUUGAAUCCAGGAGAGGUGAGUGGAAUUCCGAGUGUAGAGGUGAAAUUCGUAGAUAUUCGGAAGAACACCAGUGGCGAAGGCGGCUCACUGGACUGGUAUUGACGCUGAGGUGCGAAAGCGUGGGGAGCAAACAGGAUUAGAGACCCGCGUAGUCCCUGUCUCUUAUAC